UACACUCCUACGGGAGGCAGCAGUGGGGAAUUUUGGACAAUGGGCGAAAGCCUGAUCCAGCAAUGCCGCGUGAGUGAAGAAGGCCUUCGGGUUGUAAAGCUCUUUUGUCCGGGAAGAAACGGUGAGAGCUAAUAUCUCUUGCUAAUGACGGUACCUGAAGAAUAAGCACCGGCUAACUACGUGCCAGCAGCCGCGGUAAUACGUAGGGUGCAAGCGUUAAUCGGAAUUACUGGGCGUAAAGCGUGCGCAGGCGGUUUUGUAAGUCUGAUGUGAAAUCCCCGGGCUCAACCUGGGAAUUGCAUUGGAGACUGCAAGGCUAGAAUCUGGCAGAGGGGGGUAGAAUUCCACGUGUAGCAGUGAAAUGCGUAGAUAUGUGGAGGAACACCGAUGGCGAAGGCAGCCCCCUGGGUCAAGAUUGACGCUCAUGCACGAAAGCGUGGGGAGCAAACAGGAGUAGAAACCCGGGUAGUCCCAUGAU
rnacentral:rRNA from 1 species